rnacentral:rRNA from 1 species
UACAGAGGUCUCAAGCGUUGUUCGGAUUCAUUGGGCGUAAAGGGUGCGUAGGUGGCGCCGUAAGUCAGGUGUGAAAUUUCGGAGCUUAACUCCGAAACUGCAUUUGAUACUGCGGUGCUUGAGGACUGGAGAGGAGACUGGAAUUCCCGGUGUAGCAGUGAAAUGCGUAGAGAUCGGGAGGAACACCAGUGGCGAAGGCGGCUACCUGGACCAGCACUGACACUGAGGCACGAAAGCGUGGGGAGCAAACAGG